rnacentral:rRNA from 1 species
CUACGGGACGCUGCAGUGGGGAAUAUUGCACAAUGGACGAAAGUCUGAUGCAGCAACGCCGCGUGGAGGAUGACACAUUUCGGUGCGUAAACUCCUUUUAUAUAAGAAGAUAAUGACGGUAUUAUAUGAAUAAGCACCGGCUAACUCCGUGCCAGCAGCCGCGGUAAUACGGAGGGUGCAAGCGUUACUCGGAAUCACUGGGCGUAAAGAGCGUGUAGGCGGAUAGAUAAGUUGGAAGUGAAAUCCUAUGGCUCAACCAUAGAACUGCUUCCAAAACUGUCUAUCUAGAAUAUGGGAGAGGUAGAUGGAAUUUCUGGUGUAGGGGUAAAAUCCGUAGAGAUCAGAAGGAAUACCGAUUGCGAAGGCGAUCUACUGGAACAUUAUUGACGCUGAGACGCGAAAGCGUGGGGAGCAAACAGGAUUAGAUACCCCGGUAGUC